UUGCUUCACUUCUGGAUCCAUGCCAAUUUCUCCAUAUCUAAUUGGAUUUGGAUUGUGAUUUUUGGUAUCAUGAUAGUGGAUCUAAUAAGGGUGGGUGGCUAUAGCUGAUGAGUCAUAAUAUUAUCUCUUGUUUAAUUCAAAUGCGAUCCGAAUUAGAGAUAAGAGGUAAACUAAGAAAGAGAUUUUUUGUAUAUGGAAUA
rnacentral:lncRNA from 1 species